AUUGAACGCUGGCGGCAGGCUUAACACAUGCAAGUCGAGCGGGGGAAGGUAGCUUGCUACCGGACCUAGCGGCGGACGGGUGAGUAAUGCUUAGGACUCUGCCUAUUAGUGGGGGACAACAUCUCGACAGGGAUGCUAAUACCGCAUACGUCCUACGGGAGAAAGCAGAGGAUCACUUGUGACCUUGCGCUAAUAGAUGAGCCUAAGUCGGAUUAGCCAGUUGGUGGGGUAAAGGCCUACCAAGGCGACGAUCUGUAGCGGGUCUGAGAGGAUGAUCCGCCACGCUGGGACUGAGAAACGGCCCAGACUCCUACGGGAGGCAGCAGUGGGGAAGAUUGGACAAUGGGGGGAACCCUGAUCUAGCCAUGCCGCGUGUGUGAAGAAGGCCUUAUGGUUGUAAAGCACUUUAGGCGAGGAGGAGGCUCUUUUGGUUAAUACCCAAGAUGAGUGGACGUGACUCGCAGAAUAAGCACCGGCUAACUCUGUGCCAGCCGCCGCAGUAA
rnacentral:rRNA from 1 species